rnacentral:rRNA from 1 species
GCCCCGUGACCAAAAGUUCAACGGCCGCGGUAUUCUGACCGUGCGAAGGUAGCGUAAUCACCUGUCUUUUAAAUGAAGACCUGUAUGAAAGGCACCACGAGGGCUCAACUGUCUCCCGCCUCCAGUCAAUGAAACUGAUCUGUCCGUGCAGAAGCGGACAUAACAACAUAAGACGAGAAGACCCUGUGGAGCUUAAGGCACAAGGCCAACCAUGCCAAACAUCCCUCCCAAAGGCAUAAGCACAACAACCACUGGCCACACAUGCCUUCGGUUGGGGCGACCGCGGAGAAAAAUCAAACCUCCAUGUGGACCAAGGAUACAAUCCUCAAAACCAAGAGACACAGCUCUAAGCAGCAGAAAAUCUGACCAAAAGACCCAGGCCAACACGCCUGAUCAACGAACCAAGUUACCCCAGGGAUAACAGCGCAAUCCUCUCCCAGAGUCCAUAUCGACGAAAGGGUUUACGACCUCGAUGUUGGAUCAGGACAUCCUAAUGGUGCAGCCGCUAUUAAGGGUUCGUUUGUUCAACG